rnacentral:rRNA from 1 species
CCCGCACAAGCGGUGGAGUAUGUGGUUUAAUUCGAUGCAACGCGAAGAACCUUACCUGGUCUUGACAUCCCGGAGACCCUUAGGAAACUAGGGGGUGCUUCCAUCUGGAAGAAUCUGGAGACAGGUGCUGCAUGGCUGUCGUCAGCUCGUGUCGUGAGAUGUUGGGUUAAGUCCCGCAACGGGCGCAACCCUUGCCUUUAGUUGCCAGCAGUUCGGCUGGGCACUCUAAAGGGACUGCCGGUGUUAAACCGGAGGAAGGUGGGGAUGACGUCAAGUCCUCAUGGCCUUUAUGACCAGGGCUACACACGUACUACAAUGGCCGAUACAAAGGGCAGCGACACUGCGAGGUGAAGCCAAUCCCGUAAAAUCGGUCUCAGUCCGGAUUGGAGUCUGCAACUCGACUCCAUGAAGUUGGAAUCGCUAGUAAUCGUGGAUCAGCAUGCCACGGUGAAUACGUUCCCGGGCCUU